GGCUCCAUCUUCCAUGGCCCUGGGUGGAGGCAGCAUGCAGCUUGGCCAGCUGCAGAGCCAACGUAAAGAACGGCGGUUUUUCUGCAGGCUCUGGGUCCCAUGGGCCUGUCUAAGCUGCUGGGCGAGUUUCCGUUGGAGAGGGGAUCCCUGCUUGUCUGGGGACUGCAGUGUCAUCUCAGAGACACUGGGAAGACACCCUGGGCCUGUCCAGGUGAGGCAGCCGGUGUUCCAGACUCAGCUCGGAUCUUUAAUUGGUUGACAAUGUUCCAAGACCUUUUGUGUGUCACAUCCAGCCUCAGAAAACAGGCCACAGUCACCCUCCCCAGGAGGAGCAGGUCACGUAGUUAUCACCAUUGAAGCAGCUGCUUGGUCUUGGGAGUCCAGCCACAGAGGGACAAACACGAUGUGCAAGAAAUAUCCGAGAAACGAUUCAUACAGCCCUGGGCACAGCCUUGGGCUUCCAUCUACAUCAUGUGUCCGUGAGGGGCCCAGGACAAAGUCGGGGAGAUCAGGAGGAAACAUAUGGGUCUGGCAGGAGCAGCCCACCCUCCACGACUCCCAGGGGUGCUUAACCACAGAGCCACAUCCCCAGCUCAUAUAUAUAUAUAUA